AGGAAUAAAACACACAACUCUCCUCGCGACUACUUAAGAACUGUACUUACCCGCCUACUGUGUGAAUCUAUUGGUAGCAUGAGCAAAAUGACCAGAAUCGUACAUUUCUUCUUUAUCGUUCAAGCUUUGUUUUUUCUCGCCUGUCACGGAGACAGCACUCUUUCCGUCACUAACUAUGGCUCGCUUCAGAUAUCCAUGGUCCGGCAUGCUGAAUUAUACGCCACUAACAGAGUUGGAUACGCAUUUGAGGACGUACCACCAAGAUAUCAUGGCAUGACCCACGUAAGAGGCGUGAACGACAAGCAUGGCUCGGUAAAGUUCCAUGUGAACAUCGCAGUCAAGGUUUACCUGGCCGUCGACAGUCGCUAUCCAUACAUCCACGGCUCAAGUUAUCGCAAUACUGGGGAUCAAAUUAUGCUCGGAGGCACUCAUUCACGAACUCCAUUCUACAUCUACGAGAGCGUUGAUCCAUGUGGCCCGGGAACCGUCAAUGUUAACUUUCCGAAGUCCCGUAUGACGGCUAUAUUCUUGCGGAAUUCUCAGAAGGUCAAACCAGAGGCCGAUCUCUCACUGCGCAUGCACAACUCCGGCUGGGAAAUCAGUAUGGUUAGAGAAGGUGAAAAAUUCAGCUCGAAUAGGAAGUGCUACGCAAUGACCAACAUACCCCCGAGGUUCUACGGUAUGACGCAUCUYCGAGGGCCCAAUGACAAGCCAACAACGAUUACCUUCACUGUUAAUGUCCCUAUUAAACUAUACAUUGCAAUCGAUUCAAGGUACCCAAGCCCUCUUGACGCCAACCUGUACAAAAAGACUGGAGAGAAGAUUGUACACGGAGGAUGCCAUGCUCCGACGGACUUUCSUAUCUGGGAGAGACUGGUGCACGCUCCUGCAGACUGGUCACAAUUUGUCUGAAUACGACUCGUAUAAUGGGGCUGUUUGUGACACCACUUAUCUACGAUAACACAUUCAAAUCAGGUGUUUAUUCCUAAUUAUACGAAGGCUUUAAGUUAAUUACAGCUGAUAAAUAAAUAAAGAAAUGAAAAUAUGUAUUAAUUAAAUCAAUAAACAUGUUGAUUAACCAUGAGCUGAAUUAAUAGAUUCAUCUGCAAAAAUAAUUGAAAAAUCAUGUAUCAAAUUAACACUAAGGGAAUGGAGAAAUUAAAAAAAAGAAAACAUAAUG